GACGAACGCUAGCGGCGUGCUUAACACAUGCAAGUCGAGCGGUAAGGCCCUUCGGGGUACACGAGCGGCGAACGGGUGAGUAACACGUGGGUGAUCUGCCUUGCACUUCGGGAUAAGCCUGGGAAACCGGGUCUAAUACCGGAUAUGACCACGAGAUGCAUGUCUUGUGGUGGAAAGAUUUAUCGGUGCGAGAUGGGCCCGCGGCCUAUCAGCUUGUUGGUGAGGUAACGGCUCACCAAGGCGACGACGGGUAGCCGACCUGAGAGGGUGACCGGCCACACUGGGACUGAGACACGGCCCAGACUCCUACGGGUGGCAG
rnacentral:rRNA from 1 species